GAAGGGCAAGAGCGAGCCCUGGCGGGCCUUGCAGAGGGCUGCAGCGACCUGCUUCGGCGGUGGUCUCCUUCUCCACCUCAGCGUUCUCCGCCCACCCGGGACCUUCCCGCCAAAACCUCUCACCUCACAUGCAAGACUGGCUCUGACUCUUCACUGCUCACUGUGCUGCUGUCUUCCACUCUCGUCAAAAAGUACUUAUUGUGCCAUGAGAGAUCAGCUGCACUGAGAAGAGGCAUGACUUAUUUCAUCCAGUGCUUGCUCAGCUCGCAUCUGCCCACACUCUUCAAUGGCCACAACUGCUUUCCCAGCCCUGGGAAGAAGAUGGGAAAUUCAGGAAUUGGAGGAAGGCAUUCCAAAAUAUAGAGGCUGUCAAAGCAGGUGAGGGGGGUUGGGAACAGAGCAGGAGGGCCAUUUGGUCUUUUUUAGGUUUUAACUUUCUACUUGAUCCAGCUGAUGAAUCCCUUACCCUCCAUUGCCAGAUGCUACAUCUUCGUCUCUGUUGCCCCCGAAGGAGCGUAUUAGCUACCUUAGCUCCACUGUAUAAUGGUAUUUGGAAUUAAAUGGU